rnacentral:lncRNA from 1 species
CUUGAGGACCCAGAACACGGAAUGUGAUUAAUGGUGAACACUUGUGAAGUUUUCAUACUGCAGCCAACCUCUGCCAUCUGUAAUCACAAGAUCUUCAGAUAGCUUCGGACUCAGUGGAUAUUUAAACAACAGACACAGGCCACGUGUAAGUGAUCAAUUGACAGCACAGACUAGGUCUUCACAGAGCUUUGGCCUCAGAGUGGAAGAAAUACUUUCCCAAUAGCACACAGAAAGUUAGUUAUAAGGCUAUGGGAGGAAAGAGACAGGACCAAACACACAGACAGCAGGUGCCACUGGGCCCAAAGCAGGCGUCCACCCCCUACCCCUUCACCCCACCCUCACCCCAUCCCCCACCCCCACCACAGCCGGUCUGAACAGUGGUUCGGAGGGGGCUCCUCUCUCAGCAGACAACUCAGUGUUGAGAACGACGUGAACAUCAAGAUAAACUAGCUUGAGAUCAUAUUAUACGCAACCCAGU